rnacentral:rRNA from 1 species
AUUGAACGCUGGCGGCAGGCCUAACACAUGCAAGUCGAACGGUAACAGGAAGCAGCUUGCUGCUUCGCUGACGAGUGGCGGACGGGUGAGUAAUGUCUGGGAAACUGCCUGAUGGAGGGGGAUAACUACUGGAAACGGUAGCUAAUACCGCAUAACGUCGCAAGACCAAAGAGGGGGACCUUAGGGCCUCUUGCCAUCGGAUGUGCCCAGAUGGGAUUAGCUAGUAGGUGGGGUAACGGCUCACCUAGGCGACGAUCCCUAGCUGGUCUGAGAGGAUGACCAGCCACACUGGAACUGAGACACGGUCCAGACUCCUACGGGAGGCAGCAGUGGGGAAUAUUGCACAAUGGGCGCAAGCCUGAUGCAGCCAUGCCGCGUGUAUGAAGAAGGCCUUCGGGUUGUAAAGUACUUUCAGCGGGGAGGAAGGGAGUAAAGUUAAUACCUUUGCUCAUUGACAUUACCCGCAGAAGAAGCACCGGCUAACUCCGUG